rnacentral:rRNA from 1 species
AAACCAACAGGGAUUACCUCAGUAACGGCGAGUGAAGCGGUAACAGCUCAAAUUUGAAAUCUGGGUCUUUCAGGCUCCGAGUUGUAAUUUGUAGAAGAUGCUUCGGGUGCGGCUCCGGUCUAAGUUCCUUGGAACAGGACGUCAUAGAGGGUGAGAAUCCCGUAUGUGAUCGGUUGCUUGCGCCCAUGUGAAGCUCUUUCGACGAGUCGAGUUGUUUGGGAAUGCAGCUCAAAAUGGGUGGUAAAUUUCAUCUAAAGCUAAAUAUUGGCCAGAGACCGAUAGCGCACAAGUAGAGUGAUCGAAAGAUGAAAAGCACUUUGGAAAGAGAGUUAAACAGUACGUGAAAUUGUUGAAAGGGAAGCGCUUGCAACCAGACUUGCGCGUUGCCGAUCAUCCGGGGUUCUCCCCGGUGCACUCGGCCUCGCUCAGGCCAGCAUCAGUUUUGGUGGUGGGAUAAAGGCCUUGGGAAUGUAGCUCCUUUCGGGGAGUGUUAUAGCCCUCGGUGCAAUGCCGCCUACCGGGACCGAGGACCGCGCUUCGGCUAGGAUGCUGGCGUAAUGGUUGUAAGCGAC